AUACGUAGGGAGCGAGCGUUGUCCGGAAUUACUGGGCGUAAAGGGCGCGUAGGCGGCGCUUCAAGUCGUCUGUCAAAUGGGAGGGCUUAACCCUUUUUCGCAGACGAAACUGGAGAGCUUGAGAAGCAGAGAGGCAAACAGAAUUCCUGGUGUAGCGGUGAAACGCGUAGAUAUCAGGAAGAAUACCAGUGGCGAAGGCGGUUUGCUGGCUGCAUACUGACGCUGAAGCGCGAAAGCCAGGGGAGCAAACGGGAUUAGAUACCCCGGUAGUCCUGGCAGUAAACGAUGUAUGCUGGGUGUGAGACUAGCGAUAGUUUCGUGCCGAAGUUAACGCGAUAAGCAUACCGCCUGGGGAGUACGGUCGCAAGAUUGAAACUCAAAUGAAUUGACGGGG
rnacentral:rRNA from 1 species